UCUAGAUUGAAGAAAUGCAACGCUGUCUGACUGGCGGUUAGGGAACAACCGAACGAAGCUAUCUUUCGGAAGUGUAAUCGUCUGAAAGAUUCAUUGUAGACCCAAUCUUCAAACUCCUAACAUGUUGAAAUCUUAUGUGCCAGGUAAUGGACAAGUGCAGUGGGUUGGAGGAAUAAGGGUUGUGGUGCCUUGAAGAUGACAUAUUUAAAAGGUUGAUUCCUGACCUCACUUGGCUUUGCACUGGCUGGUUGUAUCCUCCAGGAUUCACUGCUUUAAUGUUAUCGAGGAAUUAAGAGAAGAUUCCAUGACAAGACAUUUCUUGGAGGAUGGAUGUUGACUGUUACGGCUGUGGAGGAGGCAGUGGGCGUGCAUUACACCAGAUGAGAUCCAAUUAUUAAGGUGUUGGCGAUUCUUAAGGUUGUUAUGUUUAAUAACCGCAGUCGGUUGUUGAGCUAAUGUGCCAGGAACAAUGGAGUUUCAUUUUCUUUCGUUUCGAGAAGUUUGCUGCUGGUGAUUUCAUGAUUUACGUAGUAGAUUAUGUGGCAUUGCUUCUUGGUCAACGUCAUCGGGAUCGGAGGAGUUCAUAUUAUACAAGGUACAUAUGUAUGGGGGACGUUGGAUUUAAUUAUGUCGGCCUAGGGAAUUAAAAGUUGUCAAUUUACGAUCCGUUGUUAUACGUCCGUGAAAUGGUAUGGAAUUCUGAAACUUUCUAAAGAAUGUCGCAGUGUUGAAGGUAGUUGGAUUUGGAGUGAAGUAUUUAGGGAAGUCUUGAUGAAGAAUUAUGGACAAAAAUGACAAGUGGAAAAUUAAUUAUGGGGGAAAUAUUAAAUACUAUACUUUAUUAAAUAAAAGUGUAUAGUAAUAUCAUAUUUUAAUUCGUGUAUCUUUUCUAGUUGCAUUACACAAUGUAUGUAAUCCAUGUA
rnacentral:lncRNA from 1 species